rnacentral:rRNA from 1 species
AACGAACGCUGGCGGCAUGCCUAACACAUGCAAGUCGAACGAGACCUUCGGGUCUAGUGGCGCACGGGUGCGUAACGCGUGGGAAUCUACCCUUAGGUUCGGAAUAACUCAGGGAAACUUGAGCUAAUACCGGAUGAUGACUUCGGUCCAAAGAUUUAUCGCCUAAGGAUGAGCCCGCGUAGGAUUAGCUAGUUGGUGAGGUAAAGGCUCACCAAGGCUACGAUCCUUAGCUGGCUGAGAGGAUGAUCAGCCACACUGGGACUGAGACACGGCCCAGACUCCUACGGGAGGCAGCAGUGGGGAAUAUUGGACAAUGGGCGAAAGCCUGAUCCAGCAAUGCCGCGUGAGUGAUGAAGGCCUUAGGGUUGUAAAGCUCUUUUACCCGGGAUGAUAAUGACAGUACCGGGAGAAUAAGCUCCGGCUAACUCCGU